GAAGUUGCCUUUUGGCCUGCCAUGCCCCUCGUCCUGGCCCCGUAUAAACUCAAGACCUUAGUGGCCACACCGACAAACAGCUGAAGGUCAGAACCAGAACAAUGACAGUGGAACAACGUGGCAGAGAAAGAGAGAAGGGUCAUUCUGUCUUGUGCAACGUUAAAAAGUCUUCAGUGAUAACCACUCCCCUCAUCUUGCUUUUAACAUCUGCCCAGGGACUUCUUACUGCUUCCAGGAUGUGCACGGACUAGCCCCUGCCUACUUCUGCAAGCUCACAUCAUACCCUUAACUCUAGCGUGCUGUACUCCAGCCAUCCUGAGAUCCUUUAUUCUUCCUCACCCUCCACUUUGGGGCUUUCUUAACAGGAUCUGUUUUUAUCUGGAUGAUCUUGUUGAUAUUCUAUCCGUCUCCCUAACCAGCAUGAAAAACGAGUGAAUUUAGUUCUCUUGUCUGUCUUAUAACCUAUUGCUAUAUUCCCAGAGUGUCAACAGUGCUUAUGAAAAUGGCCAACACAUAUUCAUUAUUUAUAGAAUAAAUUUCUUCUCUUUCCUCUGAGUAUUUGCACAUGCCUGACAGUCUCUUUCCCUUGUGCACACACUUUGUGAAAUACCUUGCUUGCUAACUCCUGGGCAUCUUUAGAUUCUCAGCUCAUAUGUCACUUCCUCCAGAAAGCACUUAGUCACCUCCUCCAGGAAGCACUUAGUCACCUCCUCCAGGAAGCACUUAGUCACUUCCUCCAGGAAGCACUUAGUCACCUCCUCUAGGAACCAUUGAAUUACUUCCUCCAGGAAGCACUAAAUCACCUCCUGCAGGAAGGAUAACCUGACUCCCCAAGUUUGAGAUGGCUUCUCCCCGCACUCCGGUGUUAUUACACUGCACUGCAAUCAUCCAUUUAUGUAUUUUAUUUCUCUGUAGACUGUAAACUCUAGGAGGGCAAGGCCCCUGGAUUCCUUUGUCUGUUUGAAUCUCCUGUCAUCUGUGCAUCACUGUACAAGGUCAAAUGUGGUGCCUAUUUUUGGUGGGUGUGCAGUAUGUAUUUAUUGAAUAAAUGAUUUUUCACCUUAUG
rnacentral:lncRNA from 1 species